CCUCUAGCUUUAUUGUCGUCACAUUCAGUUGGUUCUGAUGUUCCUUUUACCAAUACAGUACGCAAUAAACCAAAAAACAAAUCAGUUUCACUUUCAAAUAUCAUGAUAUGGAUGGUGUGGUUGAUUUCCUAAUAUUAGAGAGUGUUUAUAAGACCAGUAUACAGACCCAGUGGAGCAAUGGAUCAAUAUUCAAGAGCCUCAUUGACAAUCAGUACUACACUAGAACAGUAUAAGUACUAACAUCAUCAGCCUAUAGUGUCCUAUUGAUGAGUCUCUUAAGGUAGUGAAAAAUUACCUCAGUCUUACUGGCAGUGUUAUCAGGUUAAUGACAUGCAUAUUCAUAAUCCAUUGGGGCGCUACGUAAGCUAUUCAUAAAGGUAAAUAGUGUACUUCGUUGAAAGUGAGUAUUGUCAAAGUGAAAUAAAAUGGUGGUUAUACAUUAAAACAAACUGUCAGUGACCUGCUGUAUAUAGACUUUUUUAUGCAGCAGAAAAGGUUACUAAAGCUAUCUUACCUGUUGAUGGUUGAUAAAUGCUAUAACUAAAAGGUAACCUCAGACACUAAUACUGCAUGAGGUAAAGACAUUCUCAACAAGACACCUCAAAAUAGUGAUCUCUUUAGAUUAUGACAUUCCCGAGCUCAUACUAGUGUUCCAGAGAUGGAUAGACUCCAAUAAAGGAGUGACCUGGAGGAAAGUACUUCAAGUUUGUGAUGACUAUCCUGGUAAGUUUGGAGAAGUAAAAGCUGAAGUAGAAGGAUUCCUAUUAUCAGACAGAGCCUGUGAUAAUUAUUAAGAAUAUUAUUGUAUUUUUUUCUAGUGACUGCAUAUUAGUGUACUAGUUUAUUUAAUCCUUUGUAAUUUGUGAUUUUAAUUUUAACUUCAGUUUUUUCAAAUUAGCUGUAA